rnacentral:rRNA from 1 species
AGCCUGAUGCAGCGACGCCGCGUUGAGGGAUGACCGCCUUCGGGUUGUAAACCUCUUUCAGCAGGGAAGAAGCGCAAGUGACGGUACCUGCAGAAGAAGCGCCGGCUAACUACGUGCCAGCAGCCGCGGUAAUACGUAGGGCGCAAGCGUUGUCCGGAAUUAUUGGGCGUAAAGAGCUCGUAGGCGGUUUGUCGCGUCUGCUGUGAAAACCUCAGGCUCAACCUGGGGCUUGCAGUGGGUACGGGCAGACUAGAGUGCGGUAGGGGUGACUGGAAUUCCUGGUGUAGCGGUGGAAUGCGCAGAUAUCAGGAGGAACACCGAUGGCGAAGGCAGGUCACUGGGCCGCAACUGACGCUGAGGAGCGAAAGCAUGGGGAGCGAACAGGAUUAGAUACCCUGGUAGUCCAUGCCGUAAACGUUGGGCACUAGGUGUGGGGUCCAUUCCACGGAUUCCGUGCCGCAGCAAACGCAUUAAGUGCCCCGCCUGGGGAGUACGGCCGCAAGGCUAAAACUCAAACAAUUGGACCGGG